rnacentral:sRNA from 1 species
UGCUCUGCCAGAAUGACAGCUCUUCUUUUAUCCACAGAUCAGGUACACCACAGGCAGCAGCAAUGCAAAAUUCCCCACAUUGGCCUGCAGUUUGCCUCAAGCCUGACCUAGAGGAAACACGCCUUGGCUUAGAGACUGUCCCCUUGGCCUCUACCGAGACU